rnacentral:rRNA from 1 species
UACGGGGGGGGCAAGCGUUGUUCGGAAUCACUGGGCGUAAAGGGUGCGUAGGUGGGUCGCUAAGUCGGGGGUGAAAUCCUGGAGCUCAACUCCAGAACUGCCUUCGAUACUGGCGAUCUUUGAGUCCGGGAGAGGUGGGUGGAACUGCGAGUGUAGAGGUGAAAUUCGUAGAUAUUCGCAAGAACACCAGUGGCGAAGGCGGCUCACUGGCCCGGUACUGACACUGAGGUGCGAAAGCGUGGGGAGCAAACAGG